rnacentral:rRNA from 1 species
GUCUACGGCCAUACCACCCUGAACGCGCCCGAUCUCGUCUGAUCUUGGAAGCUAAGCAGGGUCAGGCCUGGUUAGUACUUGGAUGGGAGAAAACAACGAAUGUAUAGUACUAGAGUCC